UCUGUCUUUGGGGAAGAAAAAAAUGACGGUACCCAAGGAGGAAGCCCCGGCUAACUACGUGCCAGCAGCCGCGGUAAUACGUAGGGGGCAAGCGUUGUCCGGAAUUAUUGGGCGUAAAGGGCGUGUAGGCGGUAAGAUAAGUCAGAUGUGAAAGUUCGGGGCUUAACCCCGGAAUUGCAUUUGAAACUGUAAUACUUGAGUACUGGAGAGGUAAGCGGAAUUCCUAGUGUAGCGGUGAAAUGCGUAGAUAUUAGGAGGAACACCAGUGGCGAAGGCGGCUUACUGGACAGAUACUGACGCUGAGGCGCGAAAGCGUGGGGAGCAAACAGGAUUAGAUACCCUGGUAGUCCACGCCGUAAACGAUGAGUGCUAGGUGUUGGGGAGACCCAGUGCCGCAGUUAACACAAUAAGCACUCCGCCUGGGGAGACGG
rnacentral:rRNA from 1 species